UUAAUAGAAGCCAAAUUUUGAGGCGAUUCACUGUUAAUGAGUUAAUUGACAUAAUUUGUCCUAUUAAA